GUAUAGGAGCUGACGCCUGCCCGGUGCUGGAAGGUUAAGGGGAUCUGUUAGAGCAAUCGAAGCAGUGAACUUAAGCCCCAGUAAACGGCGGCCGUAACUAUAACGGUCCUAAGGUAGCGAAAUUCCUUGUCGGGUAAGGUCCGACCCGCACGAAAGGCGUAACGAUUUGGGCACUGUCUCAACAACAGACUCGGUGAAAUUGUAAUUCCGGUGAAGAUGCCGGAUACC
rnacentral:rRNA from 1 species